GUGGCGACGGGUGAGUAACACGUGGGCAAUCUGCCCUUCACUCUGGGACAAGCCCUGGAAACGGGGUCUAAUACCGGAUAACACUCCUCCCUGCAUGGGGAGGGGUUAAAAGCUCCGGCGGUGAAGGAUGAGCCCGCGGCCUAUCAGCUUGUUGGUGGGGUAAUGGCCUACCAAGGCGACGACGGGUAGCCGGCCUGAGAGGGCGACCGGCCACACUGGGACUGAGACACGGCCCAGACUCCUACGGGAGGCAGCAGUGGGGAAUAUUGCACAAUGGGCGAAAGCCUGAUGCAGCGACGCCGCGUGAGGGAUGACGGCCUUCGGGUUGUAAACCUCUUUCAGCAGGGAAGAAGCGCAAGUGACGGUACCUGCAGAAGAAGCGCCGGCUAACUACGUGCCAGCAGCCGCGGUAAUACGUAGGGCGCAAGCGUUGUCCGGAAUUAUUGGGCGUAAAGAGCUCGUAGGCGGCUUGUCACGUCGGAUGUGAAAGCCCGGGGCUUAACCCCGGGUCUGCAUUCGAUACGGGCAGGCUAGAGUGUGGUAGGGGAGAUCGGAAUUCCUGGUGUAGCGGUGAAAUGCGCAGAUAUCAGGAGGAACACCGGUGGCGAAGGCGGAUCUCUGGGCCAUUACUGACGCUGAGGAGCGAAAGCGUGGGGAGCGAACAGGAUUAGAUACCCUGGUAGUCCACGCCGUAAACGUUGGGAACUAGGUGUUGGCGACAUUCCACGUCGUCGGUGCCGCAGCUAACGCAUUAAGUUCCCCGCCUGGGGAGUACGGCCGCAAGGCUAAACUCAAGGAAUUGACGGG
rnacentral:rRNA from 1 species